UUAGAAAUCUUAGCGCCAUGUCCCUUUGGAUCAACGACGAAAAGGGUGACGAGGAUAGAGGUUAUCGAAAAUUCGGCGGAUGCCUCUACGCAGAGUCCGGAUGCGCACAUGCAUGCCAAAUAUGGAAGAGAUUCCAAAACAAAGCAGCAUGACCGGAUAAU
rnacentral:ncRNA from 2 species